ACUCCUACGGGAGGCAGCAGUGGGGAAUAUUGCACAAUGGGGAAACCCUGAUGCAGCCAUGCCGCGUGUGUGAAGAAGGCCUUCGGUUGUAAAGCACUUUCAGUAGGGAGGAAGGUAGUGUAGUUAACACCUGCACUAUUUGACGUUACCUACAGAAGAAGCACCGGCUAACUCCGUGCCAGCAGCCGCGGUAAUACGGAGGGGUGCGAGCGUUAAUCGGAAUUACUGGGCGUAAAGCGCAUGCAGGCGGCCUGUUAAGUCAGAUGUGAAAGCCCGGGGGCUUAACCUCGGAAUUGCAUUUGAAACUGGCAGGCUAGAGUCUUGUAGAGGGGGUAGGAAUUUCAGGUGUAGCGGUGAAAUGCGUAGAGAUCUGAAGGAAUACCAGUGGCGAAGGCGGCCCCCUGGACAAAGACUGACGCUCAGAUGCGAAAGCGUGGGGAGCGAAACAGGAUUAGAUACCCUGUAGCACAGAG
rnacentral:rRNA from 1 species